rnacentral:rRNA from 1 species
UUUCUCCUACGGGAGGCAGCAGUGGGGAAUAUCGCACAAUGGGGGAAACCCUGAUGCAGCAACGCCGCGUGGGUGAAGGAGCGUUUCGGCGCGUAAAGCCCUGUCAGCGGGGAAGAAGAAAGACGGUACCCGACCAAGAAGCCCCGGCUAACUACGUGCCAGCAGCCGCGGUAAUACGUAGGGGGCGAGCGUUAUCCGGAAUUACUGGGGGUAAAGGGAGCGUAGACGGCGAGGUAAGCCUGAAGUGGAAGCCCACGGCCCAACCGCGGAACUGCUUUGGGGACUGUUUUGCUGGAGUAUGGGAG